UCAGCCACACACUUCGUCCCAUCCCCUCCCCCCGUGACCUCUCUCCCCUUUGGCCCUUCUCCCCCAGAACAAAUCGCUCCUCCCCACCCGACUCUUCCUCAUCCUCUGCAAACUACCGAGCCGCCGCCCUCCAAAUCCCGUGCCCUGCCCUGCCCUACCCUAAGAAAUCGAGCGCCACUGCUGCAUUCACCGCUAGAUCCGCAUGUGGCUGCAGGCUGGGAGUCUCGGCAGCGAUGGGUCCUCCUCGCCAUCCUUCCUCACUGGCGACGGCGCCUGCUCCUCCCCACCGGUGUUCGUGACUGCUCCUUCCCAACCGGCGGCGGCGCCUCUCCCAGCAACGACUGGAGCCCCAGAUCUGGUGGCGGUAGACCACACUAGCGCCACCUUCUACACCAGCCACGGCAGCGCCUCAUAUCUACCAGCGGCGAUGGAAGCUCCCAGAACUGGGGACUCUGCUACAAGCGCCAUCCUGGCACCCGUCAUAGAAGAAACAGGCCAGAAGGAUCUGGGCUUUUUAAAGAAUGUCAGUUUGGGCUGCAAUGAGGUGAGUUCUUGAGCUUAUAAAUUCAGUGAAUGAAGCUUUUCGUUUCACAAAAAAAAGUGAAUGAAGCUUUUCACUUGCAGGUACAUUGUGCUUGCAAUUUUGUGACCAAACAUGUGUGGCAGAUUGGUCCUGUAUAGAAAAGGAAUGGUGAUAUCUGCUCGCCCGGUAUUUUGAUUCGGCAAGCUUGUUUUGUGUCAUUGUAAUUCUACUUUUAUCAAAUAAGACUGGUGAAAACAGGGCAAGAUUGAAAGCUUCUCCACGAUGCAGUUUUCUUAGUAAUCAUGUAUUGUACCUUUUUGUUUAGCCUCUGAAAACUAUGAACUCUGCAUGCUUGUGACAUACAACAUGAAAGCUAAGAACAGAAAGUUAUGCAUUGAUCAAGAACUCUAGGUGAAGUUGGUUUUAUGUACAAGUAAUGGAAAACUCAUAAAAACUGUGAUGCCUUGGUAACUUCUGUGUACUUAUGCUGCAGGUACCAACAUAUGUAAAGUUCUUUUUUUUUACUUUUUCAUUUGUUUCAACGAGUGAUGUUUGUUUCUGUUGUAUUUUCUAUAGGACAUGGAAAAAUUCCAGCAACCUAAGGUAUUCACACAUGCUCCUGACACCAAGAAGACCUAGCUGCCAGCACCUAUUUAACUAUUAGUUUGGUGACUAAGGACACUUGUGAGAUAGGAUGUGAGAUUUCAUUUGUUUACUUUAUCUGAGAUAUCUUUGUGACUAAGGUCACUUGUUGAACUAUAGUUUGGUGUUCGUGAUGAAUGUAAUAAAUAUGUUGAUGAAUGACUUGUGAACCUAUUGAUUUGGCCAAGAAUGUAAUAUAUUGUUGGACCUAUAUAUGUUAAUGUGGAUUGUUUGA